ACAAGUAAAGACAUUUAUUUUUCAUUCAGCAGUCUUUUUCUGUGAAAAUAAAAAGAGGGAAUCAGAAGAUUAACUCUCGAAAGGAUCAUGGACAACUAAUCCAGUUCCCUCAUUUUGCAGGCAAGGAACCUGAGGCUCAGAGAAGUACACGGGCCUCUCACUGUUGUGGCCUCUCCCAUUGCGGAGCACAGGCUCCGGACGCGCAAGCUCAGCGGCCAUGGCUCACGGGCCCAGCUGCUCCGCGGCAUGUGGGAUCUUUCCGGACCUGGGCACAAACCCGUGUCCCCUGCAUCGGCAGGCGGACUCCCAACCACUGCGCCACAGGCGAAGCCCAAAAUCAUCGUUUUUUCAUAAUGAAGCAUCUCUACUUAUUUUCACCUUUACCAACAUUUUCCAUGCCUUCUGUAGUAGGCAGAAUAAUGGCCCCUCAAAGAUGUCCAUAUUCUAAUCCGCAGAACCUAUGAGUAUGUUAUGUUGCAAGGCAAAGGAGACUUUGCAGUUACAAUUAAGGGUACAGAAUUUGAGCUGGGGAUCUUAUCUUGGAUUAUCUGGGUGGAUCUGUUUUUAAUCACAUGAGUUCUUAAAAGUGGAAGAGGGAGGCAGCGAGUAAAUCAGAGAAAUGUGACAUGAAGACUCAACCUGUUGCUGACUUCGAAGAUAGAGGAAGCCUCCAAGAAAUGAAGGGAGCCUCUAGAUGAUGGAAAAAGGCAAAGAAACUGAUACUUUCCUAGAAACUUCAGAAAGGCCAGUGCCUUGAUUUUAGCCUAGUGAGACCCAGUUGGA